rnacentral:rRNA from 1 species
GAUGAACGCUGGCGGCGUGCCUAAUACAUGCAAGUCGAGCGAACAGACGAGGAGCUUGCUCCUCUGACGUUAGCGGCGGACGGGUGAGUAACACGUGGAUAACCUACCUAUAAGACUGGGAUAACUUCGGGAAACCGGAGCUAAUACCGGAUAACAUGUUGAACCGCAUGGUUCAACAGUGAAAGACGGUCUUGCUGGAACUUAUAGAUGGAUCCGCGCCGCAUUAGCUAGUUGGUAAGGUAACGGCUUACCAAGGCAACGAUGCGUAGCCGACCUGAGAGGGUGAUCGGCCACACUGGAACUGAGACACGGUCCAGACUCCUACGGGAGGCAGCAGUAGGGAAUCUUCCGCAAUGGGCGAAAGCCUGACGGAGCAACGCCGCGUGAGUGAAGAAGGUCUUCGGAUCGUAAAACUCUGUUAUUAGGGAAGAACAAAUGUGUAAGUAACUAUGCACGUCUUGACGGUACCUAAUCAGAAAGCCACGGCUAACUACGUG